rnacentral:lncRNA from 1 species
CGGCCGCGCACCACCAUCACCGCCAAGCAGCUGGAGACGCUGAAGAGCGCCUACAACACCUCGCCCAAGCCGGCGCGCCACGUGCGCGAGCAGCUCUCCUCCGAGACCGGCCUGGACAUGCGCGUGGUGCAGGUGUGGUUCCAGAACCGCCGGGCCAAGGAAAAGAGACUGAAGAAAGACGCAGGCCGGCAGCGCUGGGGACAGUAUUUCCGCAAUAUGAAGCGCUCCCGCGGCAGCUCCAAGUCCGACAAGGACAGCAUCCAGGAGGGACAGGACAGCGACGCGGAAGUCUCCUUCACUGAUGAGCCGUCCAUGGCUGACAUGGGGACUGCUAAUGGCCUGUACAGCAGCCUGGGAGAGCCUGCCCCUGCGUUGGGCCGGCCUGUAGGAGGCCUGGGCAGCUUUACAUUGGAGCACGGAGGUUUGGCAGGUCCAGAGCAGUUUCGAGAGCUGCGUCCAGGCAGCCCCUAUGGCAUCCCACCAUCUCCUGCG